UCCUCCNNCUUAUUGAUAUGCUUAAGUUCAGCGGGUAUCCCUACCUGAUCCGAGGUCAACCUGAAAAAAAUUUAGGGUUGGGGUCGGCUGGCGCCGGCCGGGCCUACAAGAGCGGGUGACGAAGCCCCAUACGCUCGAGGACCGGACGCGGUGCCGCCGCUGCCUUUCGGGCCCGUCCCCCCGGCAGAGGGGGGGACGGGGGCCCAACACACAAGCCGUGCUUGAGGGCAGCAAUGACGCUCGGACAGGCAUGCCCUCCGGAAUACCAGAGGGCGCAAUGUGCGUUCAAAGACUCGAUGAUUCACUGAAUUCUGCAAUUCACAUUAGUUAUCGCAUUUCGCUGCGUUCUUCAUCGAUGCCGGAACCAAGAGAUCCGUUGUUGAAAGUUUUAACUAAUUUAGCUAGUUUCUCAGACUGCAAACUUCAGACAGCGUUCAAGGGGGGGCUUCGGCGGGCGCGGGCCCGGGGGCAGGAGCCCCCCGGCGGCCGUGAGGCGGGCCCGCCGAAGCAACAAAGGUUCGUUAAACACGGGUGGGAGGUUGGACCCCGAGGGGCCCUCACUCCAGUAAUGAUCCUUCCGCAGGUUCACCUA
rnacentral:misc_RNA from 1 species